rnacentral:misc_RNA from 1 species
AACGCAUAUUGCGCCCCUUGGUAUUCUGAGGGGCAUGCCUGUUCGAGCGUCAUGAUCAAACCUCAAGCUCUUUUUGCUUGGUAUUGGGCUUUCGUCUGCUGUUAUACCACUGUAGUAGUAGUAUAUAUACGGUUUGGCGUGCCUGAAAAUCAAAUUGCGGUGCCUCAAAUGGACUCAAGUGUAGCAGGCUUACUCUCGCUUUGGAGAACUUUUGGUGGUGCUGUUGACUAAGAUAAUCAAUUUGGACCUCGGAUCAGGUAGGGAUACCCGCUGAACUUAA